GAUGAACGCUGGCGGCGUGCCUAAUACAUGCAAGUCGAGCGAACAGACGAGGAGCUUGCUCCUUUGACGUUAGCGGCGGACGGGUGAGUAACACGUAGGUAACCUACCUAUAAGACUGGGAUAACUUCGGGAAACCGGAGCUAAUACCGGAUAAUAUUUCGAACCGCAUGGUUCGAUAGUGAAAGAUGGCUUUGCUAUCACUUAUAGAUGGACCUGCGCCGUAUUAGCUAGUUGGUAAGGUAACGGCUUACCAAGGCAACGAUACGUAGCCGACCUGAGAGGGUGAUCGACCACACUGGAACUGAGACACGGUCCAGACUCCUACGGGAGGCAGCAGUAGGGAAUCGUCCGCAAUGGGCGAAAGCCUGACGGAGCAACGCCGCGUGAGUGAUGAAGGUCUUCGGAUCGUAAAACUCUGUUAUUAGGGAAGAACAAACGUGUAAGUAACUGUGCACGUCUUGACGGUACCUAAUCAGAAAGCCACGGCUAACUACGUG
rnacentral:rRNA from 1 species